rnacentral:rRNA from 1 species
AACAGGAUUAGAUACCCUGGUAGUCCAUGCCGUAAACGAUGUCUACUAGCCGUUGGGGCCUUUGAGGCUUUAGUGGCGCAGCUAACGCGAUAAGUAGACCGCCUGGGGAGUACGGUCGCAAGACUAAAACUCAAAUGAAUUGACGGGGGCCCGCACAAGCGGUGGAGCAUGUGGUUUAAUUCGAUGCAACGCGAAGAACCUUACCUGGCCUUGACAUACUAAGAACUUUCCAGAGAUGGAUUGGUGCCUUCGGGAACUUAGAUACAGGUGCUGCAUGGCUGUCGUCAGCUCGUGUCGUGAGAUGUUGGGUUAAGUCCCGCAACGAGCGCAACCCUUUUCCUUAUUUGCCAGCGGGUCAUGCCGGGAACUUUAAGGAUACUGCCAGUGACAAACUGGAGGAAGGCGGGGACGACGUCAAGUCAUCAUGGCCCUUACGGCCAGGGCUACACACGUGCUACAAUGGUCGGUACAAAGGGUUGCUACCUCGCGAGAGGAUGCUAAUCUCAAAAAGCCGAUCGUAGUCCGGAUCGCAGUCUGCAACUCGACUGCGUGAAGUCGGAAUCGCUAGUAAUCGCGGAUCAGAAUGCCGCGGUGAAUACGUUCCCGGGCCUUGUACACACCGCCCGUCACACCAUGGGAGUUUGUUGCACCAGAAGUAGGUAGUCUAACCGCAAGGAGGACGCUUACCACGGUGUGGCCGAUGACUGGGGUGAAGUCGUAACAAGGUAACC